rnacentral:rRNA from 1 species
AGAACGAACGCUGGCGGCGUGCCUAACACAUGCAAGUCGAACGAGGUAGCAAUACCUAGUGGCAGACGGGUGAGUAACACGUGGUCAACCUGCCUUCGCGUGGGGGAUAACUAGCCGAAAGGUUAGCUAAUACCGCAUACGAUCGUCUCGGGGCAUCUCGAGACGAUGAAAGGAGCAAUCCGCACGAAGAGGGGACUGCGUCCCAUUAGUUAGUUGGUGGGGUAACGGCCUACCAAGACUCCGAUGGGUAGCUGGCUUGAGAGAGCGACCAGCCACACUGGAACUGAGACACGGUCCAGACUCCUACGGGAGGCAGCAGUGAGGAAUUUUCCGCAAUGGGCGAAAGCCUGACGGAGCGACGCCGCGUGUGGGAUGAAGGCCUUCGGGUCGUAAACCACUGUCGAAGGGGACGAUAUUGACGGUACCUUGGAGGAAGCCCCGGCUAACUACGUGCCAGCAGCCGC